rnacentral:rRNA from 1 species
UUAAACAAAAAAGAGCGUAGGGCGGAUGCCUUGGCACUAAGAGCCGAUGAAGGACGUGAUAAGCUGCGAUAAGCUGCGGGGAAGAGCAAAUAUCUAUUGAUCCGCAGAUUUCCGAAUGGGGAAACCUACUGCAGAAGACCUGCAGUGACUGUGCGUAAAUCCAUAGCGUACAGCCGGGAACCCGCUGAACUGAAACAUCUAAGUAGGCGGAGGAAGAGAAAACAACAGUGAUUCCGUAAGUAGUGGCGAGCGAACACGGAAGAGCCCAAACCGCGGUGCGUGCACCGCGGGGUUCGGACUGCAUAAGGGAAUUGAAUGGUUACCGGAAGGACUUUGGAAAAGUCCGCCACAGAGGGUGAAAGCCCCGUACGGGAAAACGAUUCGAAACUCGGCAGGAUCCAGAGUACCACGAGACACGUGAAACCUUGUGGGAAUACGGGGGGACCACCCCCUAAGGCUAAAUACUACUUAGUGACCGAUAGUGCAUAGUACUGUGAAGGAAAGGUGAAAAGGACCCCGGGAGGGGAGUGAAAAAGAACCUGAAACCCUAUGUUUACAUGCAGUGGAAGUGCGAUACAUGAACGCACAACCGCGUACUUUUUGUAGAACGGUCCGGCGAGUUGCCGGUGCUGGCAAGGUUAAGGACUACAGGUCCGGAGCCGAAGGGAAACCGAGUCUUAAUAGGGCUUACAGUCAGCAUCGGCAGACCCGAAACCGGGUGAUCUAUCCAUGUCCAGGUUGAAGUUCCCGUAAAAGGGAAUGGAGGACCGAACACACAUCCGUUGAAAAGGGUGGUGAUGAGGUGUGGAUAGGGGAGAAAUUCCAAUCGAACCCGGAGAUAGCUGGUUCUCCUCGAAAUAGCUUUAGGGCUAGCCUCGACUUAGUCAGACGGAGGUAGAGCACUGAAUUCCUGAGGGGGCGUCAAAGCCUACCAAGGGAUAUCAAACUGCGAAUGCCGCACUGAUGAUGGUCGGGAGUCAGACUGUACGAGAUAAGUUGGACAGUCAAAAGGGAAAGAGCCCAGACCUACAGCUAAGGUCCCAAAAUACGUGUUAAGUGGAAAAGGAUGUGGGAUUUCGAAGACAGCUAGGAUGUUGGCUUAGAAGCAGCCACACAUUCAAAGAGUGCGUAAUAGCUCACUAGUCGAGAGGUCCUGCGCCGAAAAUUUCCGGGGCUAAAACACGAUACCGAAGCUUAGGAAUGUAGCAAUACAUUGGUAGAGGAGCAAUCUCAGAGUGCCGAAGCGUUACCGUAAGGAAGCGUGGAGUUCUGAGAAGAGAGAAUGCCGGAAUGAGUAGCGAGAAUGAUGUGAGAAUCAUCAUGGCCGAAUAUCCAAGGAUUCCAGGGUAAAGCUGAUCUGCCCUGGGUAAGUCGGGACCUAAGGCGAGGGAGAAAUCCGUAGUCGAUGGACAGCAGGUUCAUAUUCCUGCACCUGACAUGAUCAGAACUGUGGGGACACAGGAACAAAACCGGACCCGGGAGAGCAAAGACCGGGCGAAGCGAAGUUAGGAGUGCGGUAGGCAAAUCCGCCGCACAAUCCGAAAGCGUGAUAGGGAGCGAAAAAUAAGUAGCGAAGCCGGUGGAGGGACUGUCGAGAAAAGCCGCUAUUGUAUCAUGUCAGCCCGUACCGCAAACCGACACAGGUGGAUGAGGAGAGAAUCCUAAGGCCGGCGGGAGAAGCAUUGUUAAGGAACUCGGCAAAAUGACCCCGUAACUUCGGGAGAAGGGGUGCCAUCCUCCGGGAUGGCCACAGAAAAUAGGCUCAAGCAACUGUUUAGCAAAAACACAGGUCUAUGCGAAACCGAAAGGUGAGGUAUAUGGGCUGACGCCUGCCCGGUGCUGGAAGGUUAAGAGGAGAGGUUAGCGCAAGCGAAGCUUUGAAUUUAAGCCCCAGUAAACGGCGGCCGUAACUAUAACGGUCCUAAGGUAGCGAAAUUCCUUGUCGGGUAAGUUCCGACCCGCACGAAAGGCGUAAUGAUUUGAGCGCUGUCUCAACAAUGCACCCGGUGAAAUUGAAGUACCAGUGAAGAUGCUGGUGACCUGCGCCAGGACGGAAAGACCCCAUGGAGCUUUACUCCAGCUUGAUACCGGGAUUCGGUGUUACUCGUACAGGAUAGGUGGGAGGCUAAGAAGGAAGGACGCCAGUCUUUCCGGAGCCGCUGUUGGGAUACCACCCCUGUGGCACUGGAUUUCUAACCUACAUCCGUAAUCCGGAUGGGGGACAAUGUCAGGUGGGGAGUUUGACUGGGGCGGUCGCCUCCGAAAGUGUAUCG